ensembl:lncRNA
AGCGCAUGCGUAGUGAACACUAAACAACAAAGCCUGAUUGGACCGGCUCAUGGACCAUGUCUGAUUUUACUGGUUUAUAAUGGGUCGUGUCUGAUUGAUAGUGUCUGAUUUUACUGGUUUAUAAUGGGUCAUGUCUGAUUGGACAGGUUUAUAAUGGGUCGUGUCUGAUUUUACAGGUUUAUAAUGGGUCAUGUCUGAUUGGACGAGCGUGUGACGGGUCAUGUCUGAUUGGAGAGGCUUUUGAUGAGCCACACAUGAUUGGACUUGUGAUGGGCCUUGUCAACUUUGACAAGUUUAUUACUGAUUGUACCAGACUGGACAGAAUUUUGUCUGAUUCCUGUCAUAUCUGUCAAAUAUCUGACUUCAUGAGCCGAUCACGG